UUUUCUAUAACUUAGUUCGUUAAAGCACUGGACUAGCGAUACGGAGUCUUGGGUUCGAAUCCCACCAGAAGAA
rnacentral:tRNA from 1 species